AUACAUAAGCGGAGGAAAAGAAACCAACCGGGAUUGCCUUAGUAACGGCGAGUGAAGCGGCAAAAGCUCAAAUUUGAAAUCUGGUACCUUCGGUGCCCGAGUUGUAAUUUGGAGAGGGCCUUUGGGGCCUUCCUUGUCUAUGUUCCUUGGAACAGGACGUCAUAGAGGGUGAGAAUCCCGUGUGGCGAGGAGUGCGGUUCUUUGUAAAGUGCCUUCGAAGAGUCGAGUUGUUUGGGAAUGCAGCUCUAAGUGGGUGGUAAAUUCCAUCUAAAGCUAAAUAUUGGCGAGAGACCGAUAGCGAACAAGUACAGUGAUGGAAAGAUGAAAAGAACUUUGAAAAGAGAGUGAAAAAGUACGUGAAAUUGUUGAAAGGGAAGGGCAUUUGAUCAGACAUGGUGUUUUGUGCCCUCUGCUCCUUGUGGGUAGGGGAAUCUCGCAUUUCACUGGGCCAGCAUCAGUUUUGGUGGCAGGAUAAAUCCAUAGGAAUGUAGCUUGCCUCGGUAAGUAUUAUAGCCUGUGGGAAUACUGCCAGCUGGGACUGAGGACUGCGUACGUAAGUCAAGGAUGCGGCAUAAGGUUAUAUGCCC
rnacentral:rRNA from 1 species